rnacentral:rRNA from 1 species
GACGAACGCUGGCGGCGUGCUUAACACAUGCAAGUCGAACGGAAAGGCCCUGCUUUUGUGGGGUGCUCGAGUGGCGAACGGGUGAGUAACACGUGAGUAACCUGCCCUUGACUUUGGGAUAACUUCAGGAAACUGGGGCUAAUACCGGAUAGGAGCUCCUGCUGCAUGGUGGGGGUUGGAAAGUUUCGGCGGUUGGGGAUGGACUCGCGGCUUAUCAGCUUGUUGGUGGGGUAGUGGCUUACCAAGGCUUUGACGGGUAGCCGGCCUGAGAGGGUGACCGGCAACAUGGGGACUGGGAACCGGCCAAGACACCUCCGGGCGGCAGCAGGGGGAAAGAUUGAACAAUGGGCGGAAGCUUGUUGCGGCACCGCGGGGUGGGGGAUGACGGCCUUGGGGUUGAAACCGCUUUCGCCUGUGACGAAGCGUGAGUGACGGUAAUGGGUAAAGAAGCACCGGCUAACUACGU